CGGCGCGUCCGCGGGCGGCGGGAGCUUCGCAUGCGCGGAGCGAGGCCCGAUGUCGUCGGAGGAGAACAAGUGCGUGGAGCAGCCGCAGCCACCACCCCCCGAGGAGCCUGGAGCCCCGGCCCCGAGCCCCCCAGCCGCAGACAAAAGACCUCGGGGCCGGCCUCGCAAGGCGCUUCCCCUUUCCAGAGAGCCAGAAAGAAGUAAGUUGAGUGCGAUUUGACUGUAAUUUUCCAUUACCUUCCCAAAUCCUAUAAAACAGCCCCACCCCUAUCUCCCUUCACUUGACUCUCUUUUCAGACUCAGCCCACCUGCACCCAGGUGAAAUAAACAGCUUUAUUGCUCACACGAAGCCUGUUUGGUGGUCUCUUCACACGGAUGCGCAUGAAAUUUGGUGCCGUGACUUGGAUCGGGGGACCUCCCUUAGGAGAUCAAUCCCCCGUCCUCCUGCUCU
rnacentral:lncRNA from 1 species